rnacentral:rRNA from 1 species
ACUUUAAUUGAAGAGUUUGAUCAUGGCUCAGAUUGAACGCUGGCGGCAGGCCUAACACAUGCAAGUCGAGCGGUAACAGAAAAGAAGCUUGCUUCUUUUGCUGACGAGCGGCGGACGGGUGAGUAAUGCCUGGGAAUAUACCCUGAUGUGGGGGAUAACUAUUGGAAACGAUAGCUAAUACCGCAUAAUCUCUUCGGAGCAAAGAGGGGGACCUUCGGGCCUCUCGCGUCAGGAUUAGCCCAGGUGGGAUUAGCUAGUUGGUGGGGUAAUGGCUCACCAAGGCGACGAUCCCUAGCUGGUCUGAGAGGAUGAUCAGCCACACUGGAACUGAGACACGGUCCAGACUCC